rnacentral:rRNA from 1 species
GAGAAGCUUGCUUCUCUGAUGUUAGCGGCGGACGGGUGAGUAACACGUGGAUAACCUACCUAUAAGACUGGGAUAACUUCGGGAAACCGGAGCUAAUACCGGAUAAUAUUUUGAACCGCAUGGUUCAAAAGUGAAAGACGGUCUUGCUGUCACUUAUAGAUGGAUCCGCGCUGCAUUAGCUAGUUGGUAAGGUAACGGCUUACCAAGGCAACGAUGCAUAGCCGACCUGAGAGGGUGAUCGGCCACACUGGAACUGAGACACGGUCCAGACUCCUACGGGAGGCAGCAGUAGGGAAUCUUCCGCAAUGGGCGAAAGCCUGACGGAGCAACGCCGCGUGAGUGAUGAAGGUCUUCGGAUCGUAAAACUCUGUUAUUAGGGAAGAACAUAUGUGUAAGUAACUGUGCACA